GGGGAUGUAGCUCAGUGGCACAGCGCCUGCCUGGCAAGCACGAGACCCUCAGUUCGAUUCCCAGCACCCCCA
rnacentral:tRNA from 1 species